rnacentral:lncRNA from 1 species
GGAGACUUGGAUGUUAUUUACUGAUGGUUCAUCUAACGUAAAGGGGGAGGCUUAGGAAUUGUUCUUAUACCACCUACGGGUGAAACAAAUAGACAACUAUAAAAUUUCACCCUGAAACUAACAAUGAAGCAAAGUAUGAAGCUGUGAUUGCAGGUUUAGAGCUGGCACUGAAACUUGGUAUCACGCAAUUCAUAAUCAAAAGUGAUUCACAGCUCGUAGUAAAUCAAAUGCCGGGGACUUAUGUAGCCAGGGAAGCUCGAAUGCAAGAGUAUCUCGAAAAGGUACGAGAACUGAUAAGACAAUUCCAAACUUGGAAGGUAAUGCAAAUCCCAAGAGCAGAGAACGCGGAGGCAGAUGCUUUAGCUAAUCUUGCGUCUGCAGCAGACAUAGCGAAAGAUGCAAAUGCUUCAGUCAUACACUUAUUCCAUUCCGUUCUUGAACCUGACAAAAAUGAGGUAAACUUUAAUCACUUAACUUGGGAUUGGAGAAACGAAAUCGUAGAUUUUUUGCAGCAUGGAACCGUACCAGAGGAUAAAAUAAAGGUUCAUGCACUUGGAAAGAAAGCUGCUCGUUAUUGCCUAUAUCAAGGGAACCUUUACUGAAAAAUGUUUGGUGGACCAUUAGCCAGGUGUCUCGGACCUUCUCAAACGGAGUAUGUGAUAAUAGAAAUACAUGAGAAACAUUGUGGAAAUCAUGCAGUAGGCAGAUCACUUGUAAAGACAUUGAUUAGAGCAGGAUAUGAUUGGCUUAAAAUGGAAGAGGGAGCAAAUGAUUUCGCAUCUAAGCGUGACAAAUGCCAGAGGUAUGGCAAUAAUAUGCAUAGACCAGAUGAACUAUUACACCAUGUUAUAGCUCUGUAUCCCUUCAUGAAAUAGGGAAUAGGUAUCGUAGGUCCAUUACCACAAGCAAAAGGUCAGGUAAAGUUUCUACUCGUGCUUACUGAUUAUUUCACUAAAUUGGUAGAAGCAGGUGCGUUUAAAUAGGUGCGAGAGAAAGAAGUUAGGGACUUCAUUUGGAGAAAUAUAAUAUGCCGCUUUGAGGGUACCAAAGGUAAUCAUGUGUGAUAAUGGCCCACAAUUUAUAGGAGCACAAAUCAUAGAAUUCUUUUAAAGUUGGAAAAUCAAGAGAAUAACAUCAACACCAUAUCAUUCAGUGGGUAAUGGACAAACGAAAUCUACAAAUAAGGUAAUCAUCAACAACUUAAAGAAAAGGUUACAAGAAUCAAAAGGUAAUUAACCUGAAGUAUUACCUCCGUGUUAUGGGCAUAUCGAAUAACGGUAAAAAUAAGUACGGGAGAAACACCAUUUUCAAUGGUUUAUGGUGCAGUAGCUUUAAUACCGGUUAAGAUAGGUGAACCAAGUAUCCGUCGUGUUCAAGCAGCGGAGGACUCAAACAAUGAAGAGUUACGGGUAAAUCUUGAUCUCCUCGAAGGGAUAAGAGGAGCUGCGUUAAUAAGGAUGGCAGCUCAAAAGUGAGUAAUUGAGCGAUAUUACAACAGGAAGGCACGUCUCAGGUUCUUUAGAAUUGGGGACUUCGUGCUCAAAAAAGUGUUCCAAUCUACAAAGACAGCUAAUUCAGAAAAGCUAGGUCCAACUUGGGACUGACUUUAUAGAGUUCGUGAAAUUGCGGGAAAAAGAGCAUACAAAUUGAAGACAAUGAAUGGAAAGGUUUUGCCUUCACAUUGGAAUGCUGUUCAUUUGAAAAGAUAUUACUUCUAAGGAAGUAUCCUCGGUUAGGUAUCGCCAUGUUCUAACUGCCUAUCACUUCUCAUUUCUGAUUUUGGCUAAUAUUACUUAAACAAAAAGUACAAAAUCAAAGUAUUUUUACUAGAAAAUUUUAAGAUUUGGAUGCAUAACACCAAGCAUGCGAAGAACAAGAGAAAGAUUAGACUCUUUUAUUAUGGAGUAAUCCCCCAC